AUUGGUGUUAAUAGCGUUAUGGCGCACCUGUUCCCAUACCGAACACAGAAGUUAAGCAUAUCAGCGGUGACGAUACCAGAGAUGGAAAAAUAACACGAUGCCAGUU
rnacentral:rRNA from 1 species